rnacentral:lncRNA from 1 species
CUAUUUCUGCACCCACGGGCCACAAUUUCCAAUCCACCACAAAUUCCCUUCACUCCAUCUUCCAUCUCCAACUUUCCCCCUAUACAUACCACCUUGCUUUUAUUCUCUCUCCCUUCAGACCACAAACUCAACUUCAACUCUUCAACUCUUCAAUUAACAACUUCUCUUCACCCACCUAACUUUCAUUUCUUUCCCCUCUACCAAACACACACUAAGUUUCCAAGUACAAAAUGUCGACAACUAGUAACGUCUUCUCAUCUCUCAGGAGUUCCAAGGCUCGACCAUGGGGACGGUGUUCCAAGUACAUUCGCCAACAGAGGACGAGGCUUUACAUCAUUUGGAGAUGCACUGUCUUACUCUUGUGCUCGCACGAGUAAUUUUUUUUUUUUUUUUUGGUAUCGACAACACAUAUAUAUGUUUAACCGGAAGCUAUGAAGCAUGGACACUCCAAUCUCUUGUCAUGUCCGGUGUCCAACAUGAUAUCAACACUGACACCAACAUGACAUCGAUACCGGUGUUCGAGUUGAGUUUGAUGUGUUUGACAAAUGUUCACAUGUCCGUAUCAUGUUCGAUGGUGUGUGUCAGUAUCGGUGUCGAUACUUCAUAAACUAGAAAUAAAAUAAUAUGCUCGAGUCGGAUAAACUGAUAAAAAUCUCCCUCCAAAUAUUUUUGGCACUGGUAAUUGAUUACAAAUUAUCGCUGCUUGGUGCCACUGCAAGUUUAUGUUUCGGGUUCCAAUUUUGUGCGGAUUAAUUGACCAUGCUUUUGUGUUUGGUAUGUAAAGAAAGUAGCUGAAGCAGGGUACCUCCUGAUUAAUGUGUAAAUUAGUAGAUAUAUAGAGAGAAAAGAAGUCAAUGAUGCUUAGCUGAAGUGAUUGUAAGCUCGGCCUCAGGCCCCAGUUUCAUUGAUUCUAGUUUUUGACAUGACACACACCUUUUGUAAAUGAACUUCUUCAGUCCUUGCUUUUUGGUUUUAUUCUGAAUUAAUGC